ACACCCACAAACUGAUUCACUCAU
rnacentral:miRNA from 1 species